rfam:Chelonia mydas contig225778, whole genome shotgun sequence.
CAAAAGGCUCUUUUAAGAGCCACCACAUAAUCCUAUGAAGGAUCUG